rnacentral:misc_RNA from 1 species
GUAGGUGAACCUGCGGAAGGAUCAUUAUCGAGUUUGAAGUGGGUCUUUGAGCUGGCUUUUCACGAAGCACCGUGCUCGGGCCCCGCUCCAUCCACUCAACCCCUGUGCACUUUCGAUGGCGUGGUCUCGUUGAGUGAUGUUCCAUUCAUUUGGACAUCGGAGGUCGCGACGUCGUCUUAUCACAAACUUAUUACAAUAGUCUUGU